CACGUGGGAACGUGCCCUUUGGUUCGGAAUAAUCCGGGGAAACCUGGCCUAAUACCGGAUGAGCCCUUCGGGGGAAAGAUUUAUCGCCAUUGGAGCGGCCCGCGUCUGAUUAGCUAGUUGGUGGGGUAAAGGCCCACCAAGGCGACGAUCAGUAGCUGGUCUGAGAGGAUGAUCAGCCACACUGGGACUGAGACACGGCCCAGACUCCUACGGGAGGCAGCAGUAGGGAAUCUUGCGCAAUGGGGGAAACCCUGACGCAGCCAUGCCGCGUGAAUGAUGAAGGUCUUAGGAUUGUAAAAU
rnacentral:rRNA from 1 species